CCAGGCUCCAGAUUUGCGCCCCCGCUGCCGGCAGAGGGCGCUGCCGCACGCGCAUGGAGCUUCACUGCCGUCAGCUCAGGCUACAGACACCUUGCAGCGGCUUUCCUUUUUCAGUUCCCUCAGGGAGCCGAGGAAAUGCAAAGCUCCGCGUGUAACUCCAAACAGCAGCUCAGCUGUUGCAACAAGCAAAAGCCUGAGCCUCCGCAGAGAUGACCAGUAUGCAACUCAAGCAUGGGCUCACCACCCUUCCAAGAGUCGACCCAGAAACUCAGGCUUGAAUUCCUGUGCAACAAGACUUCCUUGAUCCACAAAUAUCCAUUCUCCCCUUCUUUAAGAGUAAAACUGGAGGCUAGAGAUACUUCUCAGUGGUUAGAGCACCGGCUGCUCUUCCAAAGGAUCUGGGUUCAGUUUCCAGCGCCCUCGCGGCACCUUGCAACUGUGUACAACUCCAGUUCUAGGGAAUUUGACACCCUCUUCGGGUCUUCUUUGGUACAAGGUACACAAAGUGCGCACACACACACACACACACACACACACACACACACACACACACACACACGCAGGCAAAACAUACAUGCACAUGAAAUUAAAUUUAAAAAAGAGUAAAACUGAUUUUUGACUGAGCAGUUGGCUCCGUUUUGGUGAAAACUACAUUUCCCAGCCUCCCUUGCAGCUGAACGUGGCCAUGAAUCUAAGCUCUCACAAAUGUACAGUGAGUAGAAAUAAUUGUAUUGUUUCUAAGCUGUGCCCUCAGAGGGAGUGUAUACUGCUUCCUGAACCCUUCCCUUGUCCUUCUCCCUGACUAGGAGGUGACAGAAACUGAAUCACUCUCCUCAGAGCUAAAAAGGGAAACUGUGUGCAGAUGAUGGCCAAGCCUCCCACCAGUCUUGGACUGUUUUUAUCUAAAGUAUUACAUGAGACAGGCAUCUUUUUCUGUUUUGCUUGUACUUCUGUAUUCAGAGGCAGCUUUUCCAACAGUCUGUAAACACCUGGCCCUUCAGCUCUGAGAAAUGGACUCGGGACCGAGCAUGUGAGCUAGUUAAGGCCAGUAAACAGAAGGGAAGUGAGAGCUUCUAGGAAGAACGUUCUUGUGUUUAUGUGAGAGCUUCAGGGAACCCUCUUCUUCUCUCUCCCUGGACACUGCUGAGCCUGGAAACAGCUCCCAGCCUGUGGCCAAAACUACAUACAGAGAAAGGCAGAAGAUGAAGACAGUCUCGGGGUGGGCAGAGGUUCUUUCCUAGAGGAAAUACGGUCAUGGGCAGUGGGAGUCUGUCAACCAGUUCUUCACCCAAGAGCAGGUCUUGGCAGAUGGGAGUGGCCAUGGGGACAGGAGGUAGCCGUAGGAGGUCUGGUCCUAGUCAUGCUUUGUUGGACACAUUCAUCCCCUGCCUUUCUCCACUCAGCACCUUGGAGGCAAAUUUCAUGCCUCAGAGCUCCUUGCCCACUGGCUUCUGACUAGAAUUACUCCACGCAAGUGCUAGAGGAAGAUGGGAGCAGGAAGGCGAGCAUUUUUCUCAAUCCCUGGCAUCUCUGAUGAUAACUGCUCUCUUGGUGGCAGCCCCAAGUACCGAACUCUUGCACCUCCUCCGCUCUGUGCAGCCUCAGGGCUAGCGGUGGUGUUCACAGCUGUUCACAGCCUGUCUGCCCACUCCCUCAGCCCUUCACUUCCUUUGAACUUGGCAACCAUUUCUGUCAUUGGAUCUGGCACUGGUGCCCUACCUAGACCUUGCCUGGCCCAGAUUGGAAGGAGAUAGUCACGGGAGUUGCUUCCAACCCCUGCUGGAUCUGGGAAGAACCUCACAGGGCAAAGUGCUAGGUAAACACCACAUGUGAGGGUUACUAGGACCUCAUUCUGUAACUAAGCCACCACAGUACCCCGUGGUUGCCAACUCAGGUGGUCAUGCUGCUGGCUGCCAGACCCCACUGCGUUCCACACAUGAAUCUUGGCAAUAGGAGAGUCUGGGAUGCCUUCCUGUUCAGUGGGUUUUACUGCUACUCACAUUCCCCUAGCCUUAGUAAGAAUCACAGCAGGGCCACUUCUUAUCUGUGACUUCAGAAAACAACAUAGCCUCUUGGUACUUCAGUGUCUUCAUCAAACUGUGGAGAAGAUCUCUCAUUGCCUGGUAUGAAAUAAAUAGUCAGUCAAUGGGACCAGCCACCACUGUUGAUGAUGAUGAUGAUGAUGAUGAUGAUGACGAGGACGAUGAUGACGACAACGACGACACCAGCCUGGGCAGCAUGAGACAUCAGUAGCCUACCUAUGAGAAUAUUCAGGAAGCAGGGACAAGGGAGAAAAGGGAGCCCAAUAUGUGGCUAUCGAAGUUGGAAGUGCGAAGAUUUGGGGUCUGUGUGUCUAUGUCCACAUGCUGGCACCCAAGGACUGGCACCAUGUCCCUGGGAUCUCAGACUCAGCGAUACUUCUCCCUCCACCGUCCUCUCUCUGGUUGCUUACCAGCUGCUGCCACAUUCCCAUCAGGGGACUGCUCAGCAACUGGGGAAGGAGACAGAGGCUAUGUGGCCCCUCUGCCACUGGAGACUAAGGACUGAAUCUAAGGCAGGAGGGAGGCUGAGGGGAGACACAGGUGCCCUUACCUCACAUUGCUGUUCUCCUGGUGAGUGCAAAAUCCACAGUCACUUCUGGCAUAUUAUCGUGUUUAACCCUCCAGUCACAGGACAAGACAUGAUCCUUUGCUGUCAUUGUUACUAGCAGCAUCGCAGUUUUAUUAUUAAUAUUAUUAAUUAAUUUAUUUUUGGUUUUUUGAGACAGGGUUUCUGUGUAACCAGACUGGCUGUCCUGGAACUCACUUUGCAGACCAGGCUGGCCUCGAACUCACAGAGAUCCACCUGCCUCUUCCUCUCCCACCACCCAGCGCAUCCCAGUUUUAUAAAGGCAUCAAGCUUUGGGGAUACUAAGGAACCUGCCUAAGAUCACACAGCCUGAAGGUGGCAGAGACAGAAUUUUAACCAAUCUAGUAUGAUAAAAGAUGCAAGUAGGCCAGGCAGUGGUGGCUCACACCUUUAAUCCCAGCACUCCUGAGGCAGAGGCAGAUAGAUAAAUGAGCUCGAGGCCAGCCUGGUGUACAGAGUAAGUUCCAGGACAGCCAGGACUGCCUGCAAAAACAAAAACAAAAACAAAAAUAAAAUGCAGGCUACCCAGGGAACUUAUUGUGACUCUGUCUGUGGCUCUGCACAGAAGCUCCAUGGGUGCUGGCAUUUGAGGCAAGGAAGUAAGAUCUGCCUCAGCGAGGCCUGGUCUUUCUCUGGGAUGCACGCCAGAUUUAGAAGGACUGAGACUUGGCAGGGCCGGUGGACCCAGUACUGGGUCUGCUACUCUCACCCCUUCUCAGUCCUGCGGAAAUAUUUUCCUGGAGAGCAGGCUGUGGACCCUGAAAGUCUUGUUCUCUGCAAACUCAGGAAAAGACAGACACCCUCGAAUGUCUCAUCCCCAGACAUCCACCUCCUGGAAAGCCAUCUCCACAUGUCCCCAGCCUUGCUGCAGGCUGAGUCUCUCUCGUGACAGCACCACAGGAUGCCACCAUCUGCUGUGAUAUCAGGAGUCCCAGCCUCGGAGUCAGCAUCAAUCUCAACCUGGAUGACUGGAGCCAGAAGGCCAUGGACAAGUGCCUUCAUUUGCCCUUCUGAGGCUCUGGGUCCUCAUCCAGUGGCCUUCCUAUGGGCAGGUGACUGAUAAAGGUGACAGAGUCCACCUCAUCCUCUUUAUAACUUCUUCCUUCUGGGUCCUCACAGCCUUCCCUGACCAUCUGGCCACCUUUGGAGGUGGGGGUGCUCUUUCCCAGAAUCCUCCCCACACUGUGGUCUCUGGGCCUGCAGGAGACAGUGGUUUCACCAUCCUCUGCUUGUGGCCUGCCCAGGACCAGCUCCCCUGAGAGCAAAGGGCUCAGAGCCGGAGGCACAGGCCCCACCCUGUGUGUAAACACUAGCUGGGCACCGGCUGACCUCAGGAGGGAAGUACUGGCUGCUCCUGGCCUCUCCCAGCCUGCCACUGAGGUUCCAAAGGAAGUGCCAGCCUAAACUGGCGCCCUGGCCCCAGGCUGCCUCCAUCCUGGAAAUAGUCACCAAGAGCCAAGCCUCUAGCUAAAGGUGGACGGAAGUUAAAAAUUCCUAAUCAUGGCUUUGCCGGGCCUGGUAGGAGCACCCAUGCUGGACUGUCCCCAUGAGUCAGGUCUCUCUAAUUGAAAUAGUUUCCAUGAUCAUACUGUACCUUUAUAAAUGGACUCUGCUUAUUUCUUUAAAAUACAAACUGUAAUUACAUAGGAUAAAAUAUUAGUGAUUUUAAUGUUGGAGGGAGAAGAAUAUAUGCUUUAUUAUUGUUUGCAAAGUGCUUUUCUGUACUGUUAAAAUUUCUUUGAGUAAAAAUGUUUCUAAGUAAAGAAGAGAAGGGUCUGGAGGUGCAGGUGAGGAGAGGAAGCACAGGUCUAGGACAAGUGAGAGUUUGAGUUCCUCCACACGAAGGUAAAAUAGAAUAAGAAGAGCAUGAUUUCAUUGGGGGUAGGAGUCACGAAAAUUGAAGCAUAGAAUGGGAAAUAUAAGGCAUAUUAGCUCCUCCCCUCUAGAACCAGACCAUUAGUGUAUUAACAUAUUUCCCCUCGUGUAUAUUUAUGCCAUGUUAUUCUUUUUGUGUAAUGGAAGAAAUCAUGGAGCUGGAGGGAUGGAUGUCUAGCAGUUAAGAGCAUGCAGGGUUCUUGCAAAGGAUCUGAGUUUGGUUUCCAGCAUGCACAUCUGGCCCACAACCACCUGUAACUCCAGUUCCAGGGAAUCUGAUGCCCUUUUCUGACCUUUUUGGGCUCCUGCAUGAACAUGGUGCACAUAACUCUCACAGGCACACAUACAUACACACAAACGCAAAAUAAGUGAAUAAACUCUAAAAAGGAUUCAUGAUUGCAAAGCCAUU